GGUUAAGCGACUAAGCGUACACGGUGGAUGCCCUGGCAGUCAGAGGCGAUGAAGGACGUGCUAAUCUGCGAUAAGCGUCGGUGAGGUGAUAUGAACCGUUAUAACCGGCGAUUUCCGAAUGGGGAAACCCAGUGUGUUUCGACACACUAUCAUUAACUGAAUCCAUAGGUUAAUGAGGCGAACCGGGGGAACUGAAACAUCUAAGUACCCCGAGGAAAAGAAAUCAACCGAGAUUCCCCCAGUAGCGGCGAGCGAACGGGGAGGAGCCCAGAGCCUGAAUCAGUGUGUGUGUUAGUGGAAGCGUCUGGAAAGGCGUGCGAUACAGGGUGACAGCCCCGUACACAAAAAUGCACAUAUUGUGAGCUCGAUGAGUAGGGCGGGACACGUGGUAUCCUGUCUGAAUAUGGGGGGACCAUCCUCCAAGGCUAAAUACUCCUGACUGACCGAUAGUGAACCAGUACCGUGAGGGAAAGGCGAAAAGAACCCCGGCGAGGGGAGUGAAAAAGAACCUGAAACCGUGUACGUACAAGCAGUGGGAGCCUCUUAAUGGGGUGACUGCGUACCUUUUGUAUAAUGGGUCAGCGACUUAUAUUCUGUAGCAAGGUUAACCGAAUAGGGGAGCCGAAGGGAAACCGAGUCUUAACUGGGCGUUAAGUUGCAGGGUAUAGACCCGAAACCCGGUGAUCUAGCCAUGGGCAGGUUGAAGGUUGGGUAACACUAACUGGAGGACCGAACCGACUAAUGUUGAAAAAUUAGCGGAUGACUUGUGGCUGGGGGUGAAAGGCCAAUCAAACCGGGAGAUAGCUGGUUCUCCCCGAAAGCUAUUUAGGUAGCGCCUCGUGAAUUCAUCUCCGGGGGUAGAGCACUGUUUCGGCAAGGGGGUCAUCCCGAC
rnacentral:rRNA from 1 species